AAUAUGGCCUUGGGUAGCCUCCUCGAAGCCCAUUGGUCAUGAUUUUUGAUCAAUAAGAAUAGAGAUUUUCAUCAUCCAUCUCCAUUCAUCUUUAUGGAUGCCCUAAACUCUCUUUUUGCUACCAAAAUCCCUCUCCAACUCUUUUUUUUAUAAGAUUUAUUCAAUAUAUGCCUUAAACACCAAAUUAAAGAACCAAAAUAAGACUUCAAGGGUUACCAAUGUCUAAUAAAGGUGAUUCUGAAUAUUUAAAGUUAUUAUCAACAAAAUCAAU
rnacentral:lncRNA from 1 species